rnacentral:rRNA from 1 species
GACGAACGCUGGCGGCGUGCUUAACACAUGCAAGUCGAACGGAAAGGCCCUGCUUUUGUGGGGUGCUCGAGUGGCGAACGGGUGAGUAACACGUGAGUAACCUGCCCUUGACUUUGGGAUAACUUCAGGAAACUGGGGCUAAUACCGGAUAGGAGCUCCUGCUGCAUGGUGGGGGUUGGAAAGUUUCGGCGGUUGGGGAUGGACUCGCGGCUUAUCAGCUUGUUGGUGGGGUAGUGGCUUACCAAGGCUUUGACGGGUAGCCGGCCUGAGAGGGUGACCGGCCACAUUGGGACUGAGAUACGGCCCAGACUCCUACGGGAGGCAGCAGUGGGGAAUAUUGCACAAUGGGCGGAAGCCUGAUGCAGCAACGCCGCGUGCGGGAUGACGGCCUUCGGGUUGUAAACCGCUUUCGCCUGUGACGAAGCGUGAGUUACGGUAAUGGGUAAAGAAGCACCGGCUAACUACGUGCCAGCAGCCGCGGUGAUACGUAGGGUGCGAGCGUUGUCCGGAUUUAUUGGGCGUAAAGGGCUCGUAGGUGGUUGAUCGCGUCGGAAGUGUAAUCUUGGGGCUUAACCCUGAGCGUGCUUUCGAUACGGGUUGACUUGAGGAAGGUAGGGGAGAAUGGAAUUCCUGGUGGAGCGGUGGAAUGCGCAGAUAUCAGGAGGAACACCAGUGGCGAAGGCGGUUCCCUGGGCCUUUCCUGACGCUGAGGAGCGAAAGCGUGGGGAGCGAACAGGCUUAGAUACCCUGGUAGUCCACGCUGUAAACGGUGGGUACUAGGUGUGGGGUCCAUUCCACGGGUUCCGUGCCGUAGCUAACGCUUUAAGUACCCCGCCUGGGGAGUACGGCCGCAAGGCUAAAACUCAAAGGAAUUGACGGGGCCCCGCACAAGCGGCGGAGCAUGCGGAUUAAUUCGAUGCAACGCGUAGAACCUUACCUGGGUUUGACAUGGAUCGGGAGUGCUCAGAGAUGGGUGUGCCUCUUUUGGGGUCGGUUCACAGGUGGUGCAUGGCUGUCGUCAGCUCGUGUCGUGAGAUGUUGGGUUAAGUCCCGCAACGAGCGCAACCCUUGUUCACUGUUGCCAGCACGUUAUGGUGGGGACUCAGUGGAGACCGCCGGGGUCAACUCGGAGGAAGGUGGGGAUGACGUCAAGUCAUCAUGCCCCUUAUGUCCAGGGCUUCACGCAUGCUACAAUGGCUGGUACAGAGAGUGGCGAGCCUGUGAGGGUGAGCGAAUCUCGGAAAGCCGGUCUCAGUUCGGAUUGGGGUCUGCAACUCGACCUCAUGAAGUCGGAGUCGCUAGUAAUCGCAGAUCAGCAACGCUGCGGUGAAUACGUUCCCGGG